CCUACGGGUGGCAGCAGUGGGGGAUAUUGCACAAUGGGGGAAACCCUGAUGCAGCGACGCCGCGUGUGGGAAGACGGUCCUCUGGAUUGUAAACCACUGUCCCCAGGGACGAAGAUGACGGUACCUGGGGAGGAAGCUCCGGCUAACUACGUGCCAGCAGCCGAGGUAAUACGUAGGGAGCGAGCGUUGUCCGGAAUUACUGGGUGAACAGGGAGCGUAGGCGGGACUGCAAGUUGGGUGUAAAAUCUACCGGCUCAACCGGUAGCCGCACUCAAAACUGCAGGUCUUGAGUGAAGUAGAGGCAGGCGGAAUUCCUGGUGUAGCGGUGAAAUGCGUAGAUAUUAGGAGGAACACCAGUGGCGAAGGCGGCCUGCUGGGCUUUUACUGACGCUGAGGCACGAAGGUGUGGGGAGCGAACGGGAUUAGAUACCCGGGUAGUC
rnacentral:rRNA from 1 species